rnacentral:rRNA from 1 species
CGCCUCCUGCAACACAACCAAGUAUAGGAGGUCCAGCCUGCCCAGUGACUACAAGUUCAACGGCCGCGGUAUUUUGACCGUGCAAAGGUAGCGCAAUCACUUGUCUUUUAAAUAGAGACCUGUAUGAAUGGCUAAACGAGGGCUUAACUGUCUCCCCUUUCCAGUCAGUGAAAUUGAUCUACCCGUGCAGAAGCGGGUAUAAUAAUACAAGACGAGAAGACCCUUUGGAGCUUAAGGUACAAAACUCAACCACGUUAAGCAACUCAAUAAAAAGUGAAAACUUUGUGGAACAUGAGAUUUUACCUUCGGUUGGGGCGACCACGGAGGAAAAAAAAGCCUCCAGGUGGAACGGGAAAAUUUCCUAAAACUAAGAGAGACAUCUCUAAGCCACAGAACAUCUGACCAAAUAUGAUCCGGCUAAUACAAGCCGAUCAACGAACCAAGUUACCCUAGGGAUAACAGCGCAAUCCUCUCCCAGAGUCCAUAUCGACGAGGGGGUUUACGACCUCGAUGUUGGAUCAGGACAUCCUAAUGGUGCAGCCGCUAUUAAGGGUUCGUUUGUUCAACGAUUAAAGUCCU